UACGGAGGGUGCAAGCGUUAAUCGGAAUUACUGGGCGUAAAGCGUGCGCAGGCGGUGAUGUAAGACAGAUGUGAAAUCCCCGGGCUCAACCUGGGACCUGCAUUUGUGACUGCAUCGCUAGAGUACGGCAGAGGGGGAUGGAAUUCCGCGUGUAGCAGUGAAAUGCGUAGAUAUGCGGAGGAACACCGAUGGCGAAGGCAAUCCCCUGGGCCUGUACUGACGCUCAUGCACGAAAGCGUGGGGAGCAAACAGG
rnacentral:rRNA from 1 species